CAUCCCAAUGAUGAUCGAUAUGGAUUGUUAGAAGUAGUGCAUGAUCGGUUGAUGAUAAAUACAUGCUGAAGGAUG